rnacentral:rRNA from 1 species
CAAGUCGAACGGUGAACACGGAGCUUGCUCUGUGGGAUCAGUGGCGAACGGGUGAGUAACACGUGAGCAACCUGCCCCUGACUCUGGGAUAAGCGCUGGAAACGGCGUCUAAUACUGGAUAUGUGACGUGACCGCAUGGUCUGCGUCUGGAAAGAAUUUCGGUUGGGGAUGGGCUCGCGGCCUAUCAGCUUGUUGGUGAGGUAAUGGCUCACCAAGGCGUCGACGGGUAGCCGGCCUGAGAGGGUGACCGGCCACACUGGGACUGAGACACGGCCCAGACUCCUACGGGAGGCAGCAGUGGGGAAUAUUGCACAAUGGGCGCAAGCCUGAUGCAGCAACGCCGCGUGAGGGACGACGGCCUUCGGGUUGUAAACCUCUUUUAGCAGGGAAGAAGCGAAAGUGACGGUACCUGCAGAAAAAGCGCCGGCUAACUACGUGCCAGCAGCCGCGGUAAUACGUAGGGCGCAAGCGUUAUCCGGAAUUAUUGGGCGUAAAGAGCUCGUAGGCGGUUUGUCGCGUCUGCUGUGAAAUCCGGAGGCUCAACCUCCGGCCUGCAGUGGGUACGGGCAGACUAGAGUGCGGUAGGGGAGAUUGGAAUUCCUGGUGUAGCGGUGGAAUGCGCAGAUAUCAGGAGGAACACCGAUGGCGAAGGCAGAUCUCUGGGCCGUAACUGACGCUGAGGAGCGAAAGGGUGGGGAGCAAACAGGCUUAGAUACCCCUGGUAGUCCACCCCGUAAACGUUGGGAACUAGUUGU